AAACUAGGGGGUGCUUCCAUCUGGAAGAAUCUGGAGACAGGUGCUGCAUGGCUGUCGUCAGCUCGUGUCGUGAGAUGUUGGGUUAAGUCCCGCAACGAGCGCAACCCUUGCCUUUAGUUGCCAGCAGUUCGGCUGGGCACUCUAAAGGGACUGCCGGUGUUAAACCGGAGGAAGGUGGGGAUGACGUCAAGUCCUCAUGGCCUUUAUGACCAGGGCUACACACGUACUACAAUGGCCGAUACAAAGGGCAGCGACACUGCGAGGUGAAGCCAAUCCCGUAAAAUCGGUCUCAGUCCGGAUUGGAGUCUGCAACUCGACUCCAUGAAGUUGGAAUCGCUAGUAAUCGUGGAUCAGCAUGCCACGGUGAAUACGUUCCCGGGCCUU
rnacentral:rRNA from 1 species